rnacentral:rRNA from 1 species
GAUGGAACGCUGGCGGCGUGCUUAACACAUGCAAGUCGAACGAAGCGACCUUGAUUUAGAUUCUUCGGAUGAAGAUUUUGGUGACUGAGUGGCAGACGGGUGAGUAACGCGUGGGUAACCUGCCUCAUACAGGGGGAUAACAGUUAGAAAUGACUGCUAAUACCGCAUGAGACCACAGCACCGCAUGGUGCAGGGGUAAAAACUCCGGUGGUAUGAGAUGGACCCGCGUCUGAUUAGGUAGUUGGUGGGGUAACGGCCUACCAAGCCGACGAUCAGUAGCCGACCUGAGAGGGUGACCGGCCACAUUGGGACUGAGACACGGCCCAA